GAAGUUCAGAGAAAAGGUCCAAAAGAAGCUCGAGGAGGAGAUCGCGGAGAUGGACAAGCAGGAUGCAGA
rnacentral:ribozyme from 1 species